rnacentral:rRNA from 1 species
UACGUAGGGUGCGAGCGUUGUCCGGAAUCAUUGGGCGUAAAGAGCGUUGUAGGCGGUCCGGUAAGUCCGCUGUGAAAGUCAAGGGCUCAACCCUUGAAUGCCGGUGGAUACUGUCGGGCUAGAGUCCGGAAGAGGCGAGUGGAAUUCCUGGUGUAGCGGUGAAAUGCGCAGAUAUCGAGAGGAACACCGGUGGCGAAGGCGGCCUGCUGGACGAUGACUGACGCUGAGACGCGAAAGCCGUGGGGAGCAAACAGG